rnacentral:rRNA from 1 species
GACGAACGCUGGCGGCGUGCUUAACACAUGCAAGUCGAACGGAAAGGCCCUGCUUUUGUGGGGUGCUCGAGUGGCGAAGGGGUGAGUAACACGUGAGUAACCUGCCCUUGACUUUGGGAUAACUUCAGGAAACUGGGGCUAAUACCGGAUAGGAGCCCCUGCUCCAGGGAGGGGGUUGGAACGUUUCGGCGGUUGGGGAUGAACUCGCGGCUUAUCAGCUUGUUGGUGGGGUAGUGGCUUACCAAGGCUUUGACGGGUAGCCGGCCUGAGAGGGUGACCGGGCACAUUGGGACUGAGAUACGGCCUAGACUCCUACGGGAGGCAGCAGUGGGGAAUAUUGCACAAUGGGCGGAAGCCUGAUGCAGCAACGCCGCGUGCGGGAUGCCGGCCUUCGGGUUGUAAACCGCUUUCGCCUGUGACGAAGCGUGAGUGACGGUAAUGGGUAAAGAAGCACCGGCUAACUACGUG